GACGAACGCUGGCGGCGUGCUUAACACAUGCAAGUCGAACGGGAGUAUCAAAGAAGCUUGCUUUUAAGAUACUUUAGUGGCGGACGGGUGAGUAACGCGUGAGUAGCUGUCCUAUGCAGGGGGACAACAGUUGGAAACGGCUGCUAAUACACCAUAAGCAGAGAGGUAAAAGGAUUUAUCCGGCAAAGGAGGCACUCGCGUCCUAUCAGCUAGUAGGUUGGGUAACGGCCGACCUAGGCGAAGACGGGUAGCCGGCCUGAGAGGGCGAACGGCCACACUGGAACUGAGAUACGGUCCAGACUCCUACGGGAGGCAGCAGUGGGGAAUAUUGGGCAAUGGGGGCAACCCUGACCCAGCGACGCCGCGUGGGUGAAGAAAUCCUUCGGGAUGUAAAGCCCUGUUGUAUGGGAAGAGUAGAAGACGGUACCAUACGAGGAAGCCCCGGCAAACUACGUGCCAGCCGCCGCCGUAA
rnacentral:rRNA from 1 species